AACGCGAAGAACCUUACCUGGGUUUGACAUCCCCGGACAGUCCUAGAGAUAGGAUCUCCCCUUCGGGGCCGGGAGACAGGUGCUGCAUGGCUGUCGUCAGCUCGUAUCGUGAGAUGUCGGGUUAAGUCCCUUAACGAGCGCAACCCCUAUCCCUAGUUGCCAUCAUUCAGUUGGGCACUCUAUGGAGACUGCCGGUGUUAAACCGGAGGAAGGCGGGGAUGACGUCAAGUCCUCAUGGCCUUUAUAUCCAGGGCGACACACGUGCUACAAUGGCCGGUACAGAGGGUUGCCAACCCGCGAGGGGGAGCUAAUCUCACAAAGCCGGUACUCAGUUCGGAUUGAAGUCUGCAAUUCGACUUCAUGAAGCUGGAAUCGCUAGUAAUCGCGGAUCAGAACGCCGCGGUGAAUACGUUCCCGGGCCUUGUACACACCGAGACGAC
rnacentral:rRNA from 1 species